GGACCUGGCGGCGUGCUACACCUCAGUGUAACGAGAACGGGUUAGUCUACUACACUGCAGUCUAAGUUGCGCCGGGUGAGUAAUGUAUAGUUAAACUAGCCUCGAGACAGGAAUAACAGAUGGAAACGUCCAUGCUAAUGCCCUAUAUGCCUUUAAGACAAACGUCUGCAAGGGAAAUGCUUUAAUGCUUGAGGCUGGGACAUGUAUUGUAUCAGCUAAUUGGUGAGGUACAUGGACCACCAAGGCAAUGACGCAUACCUGGUUUGAGAGGAUGAUCAGUCACACUGGAACUGAGACACGGUCCAGACUCCUACGGGAGGCCGCAGUGGGGAAUAUUGCCCAAUGGAGGAAACUCUGAUGCAGCACCGCCGCGUGGAGUGAUGACUCUUUAUCGGAGCGUAAAAUCCUAUUUAUCUAGGACACGAUAAUGACGGUACUAUCUGAAUAAGCACCGCGCUAAAUCCUGACCAGUAACCGUGUGUAAUCGGAGGGUUGCACGCCGUACUCGGAAUCACUGGGUGUAAAAAGCGUGUAAAGCGGGUUAUCAGUCCAAGUAAUUCCAUGGUCACCAUAAACUGCUUUGAACCUGUACCACAAAAUGGGAGAGGUAGAUGGACUUCUGCUGUCGGGUAACACCGAGAGAUC
rnacentral:rRNA from 1 species